rnacentral:rRNA from 1 species
GACAGAGGUCCCGAGCGUUAGGCGGAAUCACUGGGCUUAAAGCGUGUGUAGGCGGAUUUGUAAGUACCUUGUGAAAUCCUACGGCUUAACCGUGGAACUGCUUGGUAUACUGCUUAUCUUGGGCCACUUAGGGGUUACCGGAACAAACGGUGGAGCGGUGAAAUGCGUAGAUAUCGUUUGGAACGCCAAUGGUGAAAACAGGUAACUGGGAGUGUGCCGACGCUGAGACACGAAAGCCAGGGGAGCGAACGGG